UACGGAGGGUGCAAGCGUUAUCCGGAUUCACUGGGUUUAAAGGGUGCGUAGGUGGGCAGGUAAGUCAGUGGUGAAAUCUCCGGGCUUAACUCGGAAACUGCCAUUGAUACUAUCUGUCUUGAAUACCGUGGAGGUCAGCGGAAUAUGUCAUGUAGCGGUGAAAUGCUUAGAUAUGACAUAGAACACCAAUUGCGAAGGCAGCUGGCUACACGAAUAUUGACACUGAUGCACGAAAGCGUGGGGAUCAAACAGGA
rnacentral:rRNA from 1 species